UGCAAACUUCUUCACUUCAGUCUGGUGAGAAAUGUUCGCGUCGCAACAUUCGCUGCUUCAUCUCGUUAUUUUGGAUUAAUUUAGCGUUUUAGAAGUUUAUCCGUGUGGCUGCAAUUUAUUUUUUAUAGAUUUUGCUUUGAGAUGCAUAGUGAACUGUAGUGGAAAGUGUGAGCUGUGUUUGGUUCCGUUUUACGCAAGUGAAAAUUUUCUAACAGCAGACAUGUUUUUAUUUGCCCAAACUCCCGGUUCGUCAUAAACCGCGAUUAUGUGAGGAUUAAGGAUUAACUGGAAUUAGAAGUGACUUGAUUGAUUAUAGUUUUAAAAAUAGUUGUAACAGCGAGUGUAGAAUUAAUAAAUCAAUGCCUGAAUAGAUUUUUUUCCUGGGAUAUAGGUACUAGAAUAGUUUGCAGGUUUGCACAAAUUAAGGAUAUGUGAUUGUGCGUAAAUGAAGUAACGCAGUUGUGUGCGUGUCUAACAUCGACAAGACGUAAGGAUCCGCUAUCCAUUGCUUUUGAACACAGGUGUGGAGUUGGGAAGAGAUAACGAGUGGGCCAGGUUGUUAACUUACUAGGUUUUCAUCAGCGUGAUCAAAGGCUGCUAUGAAGGAAUGGAAAAAGUGCGACCACAGUAGCAAGUAGUACAGAGAAACGCUAGUUGAAAAGUUGAAGUUCGUGAAGUUGUGUUUGUGAGGAACGGUGGAUAUACAUUACAACAAAAAUUGUAGCUGUUUUCAAAUUAAACAAAACCUAUGGUCAGAAAAAGUCAGGAAUAAGCAAAUUCCAAUGUCUCGGCGGAUAAAUUAGAUUCGGUGGGUGUUUGUACUAUCGUUUCACUAAAGCAGAGACAGACGAAAGCCCGGUGUGAGAAUAGGAGAAAGUGUGAAAACAAACUUGUGUGUCUCAAUGGCUUUCCGUUGCGCUUGUGUUGUAGUGUAUGUGGAUAAUAGUGGAAAUGCAGUUCCGAGAAUAGGCGAUUUGAGCGAGCCGCAGAAGGUGGAGAAUGAAGAUAAUUUUGUAUCUGGUUCAAUUGAAACCACUGUUUGUGACGCAAAUGUGGAAGAAGUAAAGCUAUAAUCGAUUUGUCACGGAAUAUUUGUCCGAAAGAAGUGAGAGUAUACAUUCAAGGGCCGAAUUAAUAUCUACAUUUCACAGACUAGGUUUGUUCGUCCUUUGAAUAGUAAAAAGUGUGCUGCCAACAGCACUCAUGGAUAUUGGAAUAGAGCGCAACGAAGGAGGGGCCACCAUUGGCACCCUCUUUCAGCACAUCGUCAACGACAUGAAGAAUUCCAGUCCACUAUGGGAUGAUUUUAUUGCGAAAGCGACGAAACUUCACGCUUGUUUGAGGGCGGCGAUUCAGGCACUAGCAGCAUAUUUGGAAGCGUUUCAAAAAAUUGCCGACUCAGCUACAAAUUCUAAGGGUGCCACCAAAGAGAUAGGUACCGCGCUGACGCGAGUAUGUUUACGGCACAAAGCAGUGGAAACAAGAAUGAAAACCUUCACCGCUGCGAUUAUGGACUGUUUGAUUGUACCGCUGCAAGAGAAAUUAGAGGACUGGAGAAAACACGUCGCUAUUAUAGAUAAAGACCAUGCCAAAGAGUACAAGCGCUGUCGGGCGGAGUUGAAAAAACGUUCCAGUGAUACCCUACGGCUACAAAAGAAAGCCAAAAAGGGUCAAGCCGACAAUUUACACAAUCUGGUGGAGUCUUCCAUGCAGGAUGUGACGUUGCGGCGAAGCGAGCUCGAAGAGGUCGAACGGAAGUCGCUACGAGCAAUCAUGGUCGAGGAGCGAUCACGGUACUGCACAUUUGUAAAUAUGCUACAGCCUGUGGUUCACGAGGAGUGUGAGGUGAUGUCGGAACUAAGUCAUCUACAAGAAGCAAUGCAACUAAUAGCAAUAGUAACGAAAGAUCCAUCUAUCCUGCCUAAAGCCUCGGAAGAACUAAUUUUAGAGUCGAAAACGAAUAUCAAUUUUUAUCCGGACUCGCCAGGUGGUUCCAAUUCACAGGGAGGAUGUUCAAACUCGUUAGGAUCGCGUAAAAGUUCAGUAUGCUCAAUUAGUUCAAUGAACAGUAGCAGUAGUGGUUCUCCAGGGCAUCAAUUCCAACGAUCGCUAUCACAGUACUCCCCAGCGAUACGUUUGAAACCAGGUGAAUCUAGUGAUAGCGGAUUUUGUUCUUCGCCAGCUUUAACUUCGCAGGCGUCUACACUUGCUAGUCAAUCACAUGCUGUUUCCACGUGGCCUCCACACACACAAGAUAAUGCUGCGAGUGUCGAUCGACCUCACACAAUUUCAUCAGCAUACGAAAAGGGUCACCAACGGCCAGCGCUCACAGUCUAUACGUUCCAAAAUCCGGAAACAAUAUCCGAGAACCAGAAGUCGCCCGCCAACAUAUCGUGCCGACCGCCGCUGCCUGUGCGGUGCUCUUCACUCGAAAGGCCACUUUCGACAGCUUCUAUGAAAAAUUCAAAUACAACUGUCCCGAGGCAAUGUCCCUCGCCGAUUCCAGCCCACAUUACCAAAGAACACCCACAACUACAACCCACCUACGUCAAUAUGACUGAACUGGCAUCGAUGGCUGCCUCUAAAGUUACUAACAACAAUAAUAACAAUAACGCAACUAACCAGCCCCCAUUUGCGGUACAAACUCUAGUACAACCACAAACCAUCGGGUAUCAACAGCUCCAGCAGCCAAAUUCUCCGGUGCUGUCGUCAGCCUCGUCUCUCAUAUCACCCGAUUCAUGUGCCACCAACGCAAUAAGUUCACCGGAUGUUUCCGCCUGUAGCACUCAGACACCGCAAAAUACACCCCAGACAGGGUCUCCGCAGACACCCAUUUACAGCGGUAGUGCAAUGUCGGUUGUAGGGUCUGGUAGCGGUAACGGUGAAAGUGGGCUUCCUUCAACUGUCGUCGAUGAGAGUGUUCCAACCAGCCCGAAAAACACGACUUCUACCAACGAAAGCGAAAGUAAUAAUGAUAACAAUAAACACCAGUCGUCGUCAGCAACUAAUGACCUCGAUGAUAACCCAUCAGCUCAAUCUAACACUAACAACCAAUUUCAAUUCACCACAGAUAAAGAUAUCCUUAAAUGUACCGGUUCAGUUCUAGAAAAAACAUCUAUGUUUGAACAACAAAUCAACAACAAUCAACACCAGCAACAAGUAUUGUUAAGUACUCCUACACGCGUUGAAAACAUUUACUGUCACAAAGGCGAAGAAAUUUAUAAACCCACAGGUCUACAUCCGGAUCGUGAUACUGAUCGGAUUGAUAAAGAAACGAUUGAGGAGCUAAAUAAUUUAAUCGGUGAACUAGACCUAUUCCAAAAGGAGCACGAGCUACGAUUGGAGGAGCAUCUGCUACCGUUACCUGAAAACGGCGUCAAUCAUCAAUCUAUUAACAAUGGAAAUCUAUCGUCGAAUAACAGUGAUUCUGCCGGCAGCGAACGUAACGACAAGGUGUCGAUUUCAAGUUCGAUGAAUAUUGAAGGACUGAAUUUAUCUUUAAACAGUACUAAUUUGAGCAAUGAUUAUCCGUUCAACUACAGCGAUAGCGAUAUUAACAAGUGCAAUCAAAAGGGCAGCGAUUCGGUUGAUUAUCCCAAUACCGGCUUUGAAAAUCCUUCAUUUAUGCACCUGAAUGAAUCAGAAAUUGUUGUGAUGCGGCAGAACGACUUUGGUAAAGUUGAUCCGGAAAAUUACUACAGUCAGAACAUGAGCGAACUAGUGGUUUUGCGAUGCAAGGAUAUUUCCAAAAGUGAUUCAACACGAGUUGAAGAUGUAGUCAUCGUCGAUAGCCAACAGCGGCUGAGUUCGUUUAAACUAAAUUCGCGAGCUGCUUCACCAGCGUUAUCAUCGUUCACGGUUUCUCGAUCGCCAACGCCAUCCUUUUCGUUACCGCCCAGUAGCGCAACAACUCCCACGAUGGCAUCACCGCAGCACACGAUUCACAGUAACAGCAGCGGCAACAACAAUAACAACAACUAUGUGAUAAGUCACCCACAACAGCAACAACAACAUCCGCAGCAGCACUUUGUCAAUGGUAAUCAGAAAUGCUCGUUGAUCUCAAUGCCAUCUGAUGAGCGCAUUAAUAGAAUUAAGCCUGCAAUCACACCGCGACCUGCAUCGUUAACUGGCGCUAGUCGGGUUGCUAGACGCUCAUCUGUAAAUACAAUAAAGCCUCCACCUCCCGUGCGGAGAAGCUCCAGUGUAACACCAAACCCCAACUUGGGAACGAACUCACCAAAUUUAUCCCAGCAAAGUCUUGCGUACACAUCCUCUGAAAGCUUACCACCUCCUCCUGCGUAUUUACUUGAUAGCACUUCUGGAAAUUCUCCAAUUCCAGGGAACGUAGCAGGAACGGUGAAAGCUUUAAACGAAAUCCGGCACAAGCCGGCUAGUCCAAGUGUUCUUCGACGCGCUCAUCAGAAUCUGCCAAAUCAGCAACAACCCUUAUCCCAGUAUUCCACCAACGCAUACAGUAGUAGCACGCCUAAACAUGAACCAACUAGUUUCGCUUCACCUGUUCACACGCACCACCUUUCACCAAACUCUGCUAAUUCUAAUGGUGAUAGUCAUAAUUUGUCUACAAGCCGAAACUUGAAAUCCAGUCACAACCAACAAGGCAUUUACGCGCAACCAAAACAGUUGGCGAGUAUGUCCAGCUUUCGAACGACAAGUCCAGGUCCACAAAAACAGAACAGUGGAUUUCUGGCUCAGCUCAACGCCAGAAUCGCUCCCAGCAAGACACAACAGCAAUCGUCACCUCAACACUAUCAGUCGCAACAGCAAUCCUUCACUUAUACGACUGCCCCGUCGAAUGAACCAGUAUACCACAGAAGCAGUGCGGCGGAUCAACGAUCUUCCUACAUCAGUAGUCAACAACAGCAAUCCUCACAAGGGAUCUACUCAUCUUCCCAGCAAACUAUAACACAUCAACAACAAUCACAGUACUACUACCAUCAACAGCAGCAGCAGCAUCAGCAACAUUUGACGUCCAACAGUCAAAGAGACGGUAAAAAUCAAAUUUAUUCAUCCGCCCCCUCCCAAAAUCAGCUGCAGCAUCAUAAUCAUCACAGUCAGCAACAACAGUCCCACCAACAGCAGCAACAGACGCAAGCAAAGGCGCAGUACUAUUAUCAACAAACACAGCCGCAGCAAACUUUUGCCACUCAGAAUAUUUACGUAUCUACGAACCCAUUUGCGACAGCUAGCCCGGUACACUCUAGCUAUUCACCUUCAUCCUUUGGCAAAUCUUCUCGCGAUGGCCACGAUUCCGGCCUUAGCGGUGGUGGUGGUACCCACAGCCGAUCAAAUCAACAAUCCCGUAGUAGCAACGUGGGCAAUGCUAACAACGCCAACAACGUACUCGCCAAAACCAAUGUCGGGUUUUUGGAAAAUCUAAACGCAAGACUGGCGGAACAAAGACUUUCAGGGAAAGCUUUUGCUGUGCGGAACCUGAUUAACAGUAAAGCGCUGGAUGAUGACUAUUACCAGAAAUACUAUCAGAACGUUUAAUCUACCGUAAAGUUUUCGUCAGCCGCACAGCUUUUAGUACUAAGCUUGUAUGUUGAAUGAAAUUCUUCCGUUUCUAAGCCUGACCCACGGAUUUGCCACGAGUCACUGAUGGAUCAGAUAAAACGUGGUGCCACCUUGAAGCGAAAUCGAACAAUCAACGAUCGGAGCGCACCUAAAAUUCAUUAGAAAACUCUACAGUGAAUAGAUUGAAGAAACUAUAAGCCAAAUAAUAGUAAGCCCAUAAGUGGUAAGUUGGAGGAAAUAGUUCCCUAAGUACUCAUCGAAUGAGUGCCACUGAUCACACAGUCAUCGCUAUGUCAGAAACUGAAUUACGUCCAGCGUUGAACGAAAAUUGGAUAAGAAAAAUUCUGGAAGAAUGAUGUUUUUCGCUAGCCGAAAAAUGAGAAAAGACAAUUCUAAAUCAAAAUAGAAAAAGUUUUGGUUCACCCUAAAGUUUAGUAAGUGCGCCCGAUGACAGGCGGCGAAGUGAAGGAAAGUUGAUUAUACAUAUUUCAAGUGUUAUCUAUUUACUAACAUGUAUUUAAUUAAUCGGUUUAAUCAUUAUAAAAUAUGCUGUAUUAGUUAGAGAUGCUGGGUAGCGUGACGAACUAGAAACGAACAAGUUGAGCUUAGCUUUUAGUGAAGCUACACACCAAGUAUUGGAUUUUCGCAAGCUACUCUAUGAUUUAGGUAUCAUUCAAAAACAGCUUCCUUUCCGAGUAAUACGUGCGUGAAGUGCUUUUAUUUUAGCAUUGUGUUCUUGAUAGAGAACAUUUUUACUAUAACAAUACUUAUAUACAUAUUACAUUAUAUACUCUUGAAAUUCAUACCAAAGGAGAAACUUUUCAUUUAAUCCCUCAGAACUUUUAAACAAAUUCGUGUUUUAACAUUGAAACAACAGAACUGAUACUUGCUUAGAAAGUGUAUACAACAGCAUCGUAAAAUAUCAUUUUCUCCCGCGAAACGCAAAGCACUGAACUAACUUAAAUAAGCUCCUUUAGGAGUAAUUUGAACAUCUAUCAACAACAGAACUAUAUAUCAAUUAUCAACCAUGGUACUGAAAUUAUAUACAAACUGUAUAUUCUACGUGUAAACAAAUAAAAUCACAAUUUAUCAAAUGCUAGUUAUAUACAGCAGUGACAGAUAGGGAGAACGGAUAAGAAACAUUCGAUGUCGUCCAUUAAAAUUUAGGAAUACAUACAAAACAUUCGCAUUAGUAACGGAAGCUCAACCAUGUGUAAAUUCCUGACUUUUCAGUAUUCUGCGAAAAGAGCGAAUGAAAAAGGCUGAUAUUUAGCAACAUCUAGUGGAUUCCAUCAUCCCGAUUUUACCUUCCGAUUAGGUAUCAGCAAUUGUAUUUGCAUCAGUUUCCUACCAAACGUUCGUCUUCCACCAAAGACAAAAUUGAAGCCGACCCCCCUCGCGCCUAAUUCUGCAUACAAACAAGGCGACUUUUUUCUUUCCUUAUCGGUACCAGUACACGCAUCGAAAGAGGCUAAAUUAUUUACCACCAGAAUGUUAUUAAUUUUCCAAUGAUUAUUUAUUUUGCACACCGGUAUUUAUUAUUAUCCCCAGUGUGGAUAGUGUUAUUAUUUGACGUCGAAUCUAUCGCGCAAAACUAUUUGAAUCUCCAAUACAUACUCUCUAGGUCACAUAGCAUGUACCCAUAAACUGUAGUAUAUUUGGCAAAUAUUUUGUGAAUACGAGUCAUGAUUUUUGGGAUUCUAUUCUGUUAUAACAUAUAUUAAUUUAUUUGCGCUACUAAACCAUAAAAAAUACAUCACAAUAACCUAAGGUAAUAUUUAGGUCUUCAAAAGCUUAACAAAACAAUACUAAAUGCUGCGAACAACAAAAAGAAACAAUAAUUACUAGAUAGGCGAACCAGAGCGAAACUACGAAAAACUCCGCAAAUAAUCCAACAAAACAUUAGCACGAAAUUAGCAGAUUACGGGAAGCAAGAGUGAAUAUAUUUUUAUACGAGCGAACGCCAGAACUUGAGUUUUUCGGGUAUAACUAAACGUAGCGACUAUCGGUCAAAUUCUGUACUGUUCAAUUUAAAUCACUACACUAUGGUAAAAUCGUGAACAUAUAUUGCUGUAUUCUAGAACAAAAAUAUCAAAUAAAAGUGAAU